rnacentral:lncRNA from 15 species
AUAUCCAUUAUGUUUUAAUGUCACAUUAUUCUUUUUAUUAUAGAUUAUAUUAUUAUUUGUGAUAUGAGAAAUGUUGCUAGUGUUCUUAACAAAAACAUGUCCUGCCUUUCAGUGUGGUGGUUUUAGCUGACCAGUUGAUAUCUUUAUUUUUUAUGUUCUAAAUGUUUCUUCGUAGGAUGGGACUUGUGCAAUGUCUUGUGGUUGUCUUGAUGUUACCUGCACAGUUGGUUCUCACCUCUCCGACAGAGCCGACCAAAUAUUACACCCUGCAAGGCAGAAGGUGUAGAUGGUGCCCUGCAGGUGAGUACCAGAGCUCUUGUACCGAGUGCUUGCCCUGUCCUGCUGGAACCUUCACAACUGAGAGCAACCGAGAAGAAAGCUGCCAUCCCUGCUACACAGACUGCAAAACAAAUUAUCAUCAGAAGGUGGUUCAGAACUGCACCAGAGAGUCCGAUUUGAAGUGCAUCUGUGAGGCAGGUUUCACAUGCACUGCAAUGGUCCCAUUAUCAGAAAACUGUAGAGACUGUGAGAAGAUCAAGGAAACAACCACAACGGAAGCAGCAACCAUUAUCUCAGACAACGAUAAACACACAGUGUCAUCAGCUUCCUCAGCUUCCUCGACUUCCUCGACUUCCUCAGCUCCCUCUGGACAUAGCAGCACUUCUGCCAAACCCUGCCAAUUCCCAAAGUGUGCCGUGUCAGUCUCAGAGGCAGGACAUAUCAAAACAGACAGCAGUCAGCUGGCAGCCAUCUUGUGUCCUGUGGUUUCCAUUGGAUUUGUGGCCCUUAUAAUCCUGUUCUUUGUUCGUCGCCCCAGAAAUGAAUCAUGUUUCAAGCAAGUUAUUGCAUUGCUGCUAUGCAAUGAGGGAGGUAGAGAUGCUUCUCACAAGUCGAAGGAGUCAACUCAUCAGUUCCCCAGAGACUCAUUCAGUACAAAACAGCAGCCAUCAUCCCUUUCGGCAGCCAAUCUAGGUCCAGUCCAUGUCCACAAUCCGGGCACGGUCAUCUUUAGCUUGCUCAGUCAGUUUACAGGCCAGGUUGGUCCGACAAUUGAAGGUGGGAAGACGGUCGAGACGAAGAGUGGCGAAGAAGACGAGAGAGACUGUCCUGUGUUUCAUCCCACAUCCUCUCCCAGUAUUCAUCUCUCUGAAGAGGAGAGGAGGGGAGAGACUGAAAGCAUUUUCUUUCCCUCCCAGGAGCAGGGAAAGGACUGCCAUGUUUCCAAAGAAGAGUCGCUAUGA